AAAUGGAUGGGCGGGGAGGGAAAUGGAACAACGCGUGUAAAUCAUAAAUACAAACACUUUUCUCACAUAUCUUACAUAAUAUUUAGGUAUGGCAUAAUACUUUUGCAUUUGCAAAAAGAGCUUAUACCUCGAUGCAACAUGUUGUUUACCACUUUGGCCGAUGUACAAACAGGCAUACAUAUCACUACAACUCUUUGUUUUCCAACACUUUUCAUAUUUCAACUAACUAUGCACGUCGAAGUAACACUAAACUCAUUAAACACUUCACAAAAACAAUUUUUUUUACACAUUAUCACGCAGAAUCAACGGGAUUAAAAACAUCAACAUUCGAAACGUCAAACUUUGCCACUUUGUAUGAAGUCGAAUGUGGUAGUAAGAAUGAGACAGACUGACUGGCAAAAAAUGGGUGCAAAUAAAAAACGAGUUCUCCAGCUGAAAUAGCCGUCGACGCACGCACACAAUCACACACGGCUUGUUCCAAUACGCUGGGUUCGUUUUGUGUUAGUGACAAGCGCACUCACAAAGCAACCCCCAGGACAAUCGCAUGGCAAUCGGAUUGAAUGCGCAACAUUUUCCAUACAAUCCGCAGUGUUGCGUUUUCUUCGCGCCAACUUUGCCUGUAUUUUCAAUGAGCCAAGCGAUUUUACCCCCUCCUACACGCGUUGUAUCCUACAGCACGCUUGACGCGGCAACGUUCACCACAUACACACACACAUCUCCACACUCAGGGUACGACAUCUUCCCUGUUGCUGUUCUGGACUCAGACAAAAUUUGUGUUGCUACACUUAUUGUUCAAAAAAGUAGUAGCUCUUAGGAUCUGAAUUUACAAACAAAUAUCAAAAUGUUAUGUUCUGCUAAUGAUAUUGCACUAAAUUUAAUUGCACUACAUUAAGUUUUUACAUAUCUUUCGUAAAAGUUCGUCAGAGUAUGAAAAUGUCGACUCAAUUUGUCAUGAAUAACUUGAAUUUUAAGAUUUUCGCGCAUAAAAUUAUGACGCGCGCUGUCUGUGCGGCGGCGUAAGUCGCUACUCGUAUAGCCGUCUCGCUUCUUCUUGUGUGUGCUUUACCGUUGCUCACCGCUUCAAGAACAUUGCUGCUCACACACACGUCAGUCUGUGGCAAACAAUUGGAGGGGGAGGAUGUGUCGGUUUGCUCCAGAAAUCGUGUGUGAUUUUGGUGUUCUGGAUUUGGUCCCAUCCCUGUUUGUUUUGGUGAAAUUGAAAAGGUAAGACUCAUAGACCGAUGUAAAAGUGUGAGAGUAAAGUGAUGUUGAUGGUGACUGAUGCUUUUAUUUGUUUCUUUUCCUGCUUUCAUCCACUGAUGGUGUCGAGCAUCGCCGAGGAUGUGAUCGAAUGCGGAAUAUUCGAAACGAGGAGAUUCAUUCCGGAUUUUGUUUGCAAUAAGCGCUGAACUAAUCCUCCAGCUUACAGGACGGCAAAGGUACACGCACAAACGUGCACACAUCAGCCUUGUCGGAGAACGAGAACACGGGAGGGGGAGACCGGCAACGUAUAGAACCUUUACGCUCCCUCGUGCGUUCGUGCGUGCGUGCGCGCGCGCGUCUAUGUGUGUGUAUGUGUGUGCAUGCCUGCGUGCGUGGCUGUGUGUGUUUUUGCCGCUUCGCAUAACGAGAUCCUACGGGAUCACCUUGCAAAAAACACCAAGAGAGGGAGAGGGGUAGGUAUGUGUGUAUGUGUGUGUGUAUGUGUGCUUGCAUGCGUGCGUGGCUGUGUAUGUGUGUGUAUGUGUGCUUGCAUGCGUGCAUGGCUGUGUAUGUGUGUGUAUGUGUGCUUGCAUGCGUGCAUGGCUGUGUAUGUGUGUGUAUGUGUGCUUUUGCUGUUUGGCGAUCUCCUACGGAAUCACCUUGCGAAAACACGUGGGGGGGGGGGGGGGGGGAGGAGUGAAGUGUGUGUGUGCUUGCCUGCGUGCUUUGUGUGUGUGUUUUUGCGUUCACGUUCUACGGGAUCACUUUGCGAAAAACACCAAGGGGAGGAGGAGGUGUGUGUGUGUGUGUAUGUUUUUUUUUCUUUGCCGAUUCGCACUCUCUCGCGGAUCUAGUUGUGUGCGUUAGUUUUUUUUUUUUAGUUUCUUCGAAAAAUACCUGGGGGAGGAUGUGUGUAUGAAAGAAUGUACUUCAGAAAAGAAAGUGAAAAAUAAAAAACGAAUAUGAAAUAUGUUAAACAAA